UUGCUGCCCUUUUUUUUGUCUUUUUUUUCCAGAGCACCGGUGUCGUGUCAAAAUCUGCAUCCCUCGUCACAAUCUGCUUCCUGCUUCAAUGUAGCCUGCUUGCUUACACCCUUACACCCUUUUCCACCUGUUUAUUCAUCAAAAUCAUGCACUUAUUAUAUAUAUAUUUGACUAAGAAGGGAGAAAACGCCGGUUGCUAGGUAGCAUAUGGUUUCCACCCUAGCAACACAUUCACGUUUAGCACGACACAACCGUUAUUUUUACAACCUCUACGUCCGUUUUGUGUCAAAGUAUUAGUUAGAUUAGGCCCUCUUAUUAGCUAAUACACUGUUAAAGGCCUAGUGUGUGCGUGUGACUGUGUGGAGGAAGCUGUCAUCUCCUCCUCUUUGUAUCGUGGCUGUCCACCAACUAGGCCCAGCCGCCAUUUGUCACAGGUUCUUACAGGGUUGACAGCCUUUUAGCUUCCAUAUGACAUGAUUAUAAUGGUUUUAUUAAGCUAUUAUAAGGUUUGAUAACUUGUCACGUUGAUCCAAACUGUUAUGGCCCUGUGUAACUAGAAGAAGAAGAAGAGCUUCACUAUAUUAAGCACAAGUUGUACAGCCUUGACAGCCUUUUAGCUUCCAUAUGACAUGAUUAUAAUAGUGUAAUUAAGCUAUUAUAAGGUGAAAUAACUUGUCAUGCUGUCAACAUGGCCUGUGUAACCAUGUCUUGGGAUGACCUGGCUAGAAGAAGAAGAAGAGCUUCACUAUAUUAAGCACAAGUUGUACAGAUGUGACAUGAUUAUGAUGGUGUAAUUAAGGUUAGAUAACUUGUCAUUCUGUCACCCAAACUGUUAUGGCAAACUGUGUAACCAUGUCUUGGGAUGACCUGGCUAGAAGAAGAAGAUCUUCACUAUAAAAAGCACAAGUUUCUACAGCCUUUUUGGCUUUCAUUUGACAUGAUUAUAAUAGUGUAAUUAAGCUAUUAUAAGGUUUGAUAACUUGUCACGUUGAUCCAAACUGUUAUGGCCCUGUGUAACUGGAAGAAGAAGAAGAGCUUCACUAUAUUAAGCACAAAUUGUACAGGGUUGACAGCCUUUUAGCUUCCAUAUGACAUGAUUAUAAUGCUGUAACAAAGCUAAGUUAUCUAUUAUAAGGUGAAAUAACUUGUCACUCUGUCACUCUGGCCUGUGUAACCAUGUCUUGGGAUGACCUGGCUAGAAGAAGAAGAAGAGCUUCACUAUAUUAAGCACAAAUUGUACAGGGUUGACAGCCUUUUAGCUUCCAUAUGACAUGAUUAUGAUGCUGUAACAAAGCUAAGUUAUCUAUUAUAAGGUGAAAUAACUUGUCACUCUGUCACUCUGGCCUGUGUAACCAUGUCUUGGGAUGACCUGGCUAGAAGAAGAAGAAGAGCUUCACUAUAUUAAGCACAAGUUGUACAGAUGUGACAUGAUUAUAAUGGUGUAAUUAAGCUAUUAUAAGGUUUGAUAACUUGUCACGUUGAUCCAAACUGUUAUGGCCCUGUGUAACUGGAAGAAGAAGAAGAGCUUUACUAUAUUAAGCACAAAUUGUACAGUGUUGACAGCCUUUUAGCUUCCAUAUGACAUGAUUAUAAUGCUGUAACAAAGUUUAAGUUAUCAAUUAUAAGGUGAAAUAACUUGUCACUCUGUCACCCUGGCCUGUGUAACCAUGUCUUGGGAUGACCUGGCUAGAAGAAGAAGAGCUUCACUAUAUUAAGCACAAGUUGUACAGAUGUGACAUGAUUAUGAUGGUGUAAUUAAGCUAAGUUAUCUAUUAUAAGGUUAUAUAAUUUGUCAUUCUGUCACCCAAACUGUUAUGGCAAACUGUGUAACCAUGUCUUGGGAUGACCUGGCUAGAAAAAGAAGAUCUUCACUAUAUAAAGCACACGUUUCUACAGCCUUGACAGCCUUUUUGGCUUUCAUUUGACAUGAUUAUAACAGUUUAAUUAAGCUAUUAUAAGGUGAAAUAACUUGUCACGUUGAUCCAAACUGUUAUGGCCCUGUGUAACUAGAAGAAGAAGAAGAAGAAGAGCUUCACUAUAUUAAGCACAAAUUGUACAGGGUUGACAGCCUUUUUAGCUUUCAAAAUGACAUGAUUAUGAUGGUGUAACAAAGCUAAGUUAUCUAUUAUAAGGAUAGGUAACUUGUCAUACUGUAUAACCAUGUCUUGGGAUGACCUGGCUAGAAGAAGAAGAGCUUCACUAUAUUAAGCACACGUUGUACAGAAAUGACAUGAUUAUGAUGGUGUAACAAAGCUAAGUUAUCUAUUAUAAGGUGAAAUAACUUGUCACCCUGGCCUGUAUAACCAUGUCUUGGGAUGACCUGGCUAGAAGAAGAGCAUCAAUAUAUAAAGCACAAGUUUCUACAGGGUUGACAGCCUUUUAGCUUCCAAAAUGACAUAAUAAGAUAACUUAGCUUUGUUACACCAUCAUAAUCAUGUCAUUUUGAAAGCUAAAAAGGCUGUCAACCCUGUAGAAACUUGUGCUUAAUAUAGUGAAGCUCUUCUUCUUCUUCUUCUAGCCAGGCCAUCCCAAGACAUGGUUACACAGGGCCAUAACAGUUUAUUUAAUAACAAGUUAUUUCACCUUAUAAUAAGAUAACUUAGCUUUGUUAAACCAUCAUAAUCAUAAGUUAUCUAUAACUUGUCACCCAAACUGUUAUGUUAUCACCUGCAUAACCAUUUUUUUGGGAUGACCUGGCUAGAAGAAGAAGAGCUUCACUAUAUUAAGCACAAGUUGUACGGAAAUGACAUGAUUAUGAUGGUGUAACAAAGCUUAAGUUAUCUAUUAUAAGGUUUAACCAUUUCUCGGCUAGAAGAAGAAGAGGAGCUUCACUAUAUUAAGGACAAGUUGUACAGGGUUGACAGCCUUUUUAGCUUUCAUAUUACAUGAUUAUGAUGGUGUAACAAAGCUAAGUUAUCUAUUACAAGGUUAGAUAACUUGUCACCCUGGCCUGUAUAACCAUUUCUUGGGAUGACCUGGCUAGAAGAAGAGCUUCACUAUAUUAAGCACAA